rnacentral:rRNA from 1 species
GACGAACGCUGGCGGCGUGCCUAAUACAUGCGAGUAGAACGCUGAAGGAGGAGCUUGCUCUUCUGGAUGAGUUGCGAACGGGUGAGUAACGCGUAGGUAACCUGCUUGGUAGCGGGGGAUAACUAUUGGAAACGAUAGCUAAUACCGCAUAAUAGUAGAUGUUGCAUGAUAUUUACUUAAAAGGUGCAAUUGCACCACUACCAGAUGGACCUGCGUUGUAUUAGCUAGUUGGUGGGGUAACGGCUCACCAAGGCGACGAUACAUAGCCGACCUGAGAGGGUGAUCGGCCACACUGGGACUGAGACACGGCCCAGACUCCUACGGGAGGCAGCAGUAGGGAAUCUUCGGCAAUGGACGAAAGUCUGACCGAGCAACGCCGCGUGAGUGAAGAAGGUUUUCGGAUCGUAAAGCUCUGUUGUAAGAGAAGAACGAGUGUGAGAGUGGAAAGUUCACACUGUGACGGUAUCUUACCAGAAAGGGACGGCUAACUACGUG